GUCUGCGUAGCUCAAUUGGUAGAGCACUCGAUGGUCAUGGGUUCGAUCCCAUACUUGGUCGAAUUGGUAUUGGGUAGAUGUGGGUUCGAAUCCCACCGCUGGCC